AAUCUUGAGGAGCUUGCUCCUUAAGGUUAGCGGCGGACGGGUGAGUAACACGUGGGCAACCUGCCUGUAAGACUGGGAUAACACCGGGAAACCGGUGCUAAUACCGGAUAAUUCUUCACCUCACAUGAGGUGAAGCUGAAAGUCGGUUUCGGCUGACACUUACAGAUGGGCCCGCGGCGCAUUAGCUAGUUGGUGAGGUAACGGCUCACCAAGGCGACGAUGCGUAGCCGACCUGAGAGGGUGAUCGGCCACACUGGGACUGAGACACGGCCCAGACUCCUACGGGAGGCAGCAGUAGGGAAUCUUCCGCAAUGGACGAAAGUCUGACGGAGCAACGCCGCGUGAGUGAUGAAGGCCUUCGGGUCGUAAAACUCUGUUGUUAGGGAAGAACAAGUACCGGAGUAACUACCGGUACCUUGACGGUACCUAACCAGAAAGCCACGGCUAACUACGUGCCAGCAGCCGCGGUAAUACGUAGGUGGCAAGCGUUGUCCGGAAUUAUUGGGCGUAAAGCGCGCGCAGGCGGUCCUUUAAGUCUGAUGUG
rnacentral:rRNA from 1 species